UACGUAGGGUGCGAGCGUUAUUCGGAAUUACUGGGCGUAAAGUGUGCGCAGGCGGCCGCGCAAGUCGAGUGUGAAAGCCCCGAGCUUAACUUGGGAAUUGCGCUCGAAACUACGUGGCUGGAGUGUGGCAGAGGAAGGUGGAAUUCCACGUGUAGCGGUGAAAUGCGUAGAGAUGUGGAGGAACACCGAUGGCGAAGGCAGCCUGCUGGGCCAACACUGACGCUCAUGCACGAAAGCGUGGGGAGCAAACAGG
rnacentral:rRNA from 1 species